UGGGGAAUCUUGCACAAUGGGCGAAAGCCUGAUGCAGCGACGCCGCGUGAGCGAUGAAGGCCUUCGGGUUGUAAAGCUCUGUGGGGAGGGACGAAUAUGGGUUGGCUAAUAUCCAACUCGAUGACGGUACCUCCUUAGCAAGCACCGGCUAACUCUGUG
rnacentral:rRNA from 1 species